CCAGUGUUGGAGUCCUGACACCUCAGUAUAGCUGUGCACCUCUGGGCAUGUAGUUUCUCUGCUCUGAACCCCAGGACAAGCUGGGGGCCUCCAUGGGCGCCUGAGGGCCAGGCGCCAGGGCCGUGGGCACGAGUAUGGUGAGACACCAGCCCCUGCAGUACUACGAGCCACAGCUGUGCCUCUCCUGCCUCACGGGCAUCUACGGCUGCCGUUGGAAGCGCUACCAGCGCUCCCAUGAUGAUACCACGCCGUGGGAGCGCCUCUGGUUCCUGCUCCUCACCUUCACCUUCGGCCUCACGCUCACCUGGCUUUACUUCUGGUGGGAAGUCCACAAUGACUAUGAUGAAUUCAACUGGUACCUCUACAACCGCAUGGGCUACUGGAGCGACUGGCCCGUGCCCAUCCUUGUGACCACAGCUGCUGCCUUCGCUUACAUUGCUGGCCUCCUGGUCCUGGCACUAUGUCACAUUGCCGUGGGGCAGCAGAUGAACCUGCACUGGCUGCACAAGGUAAGGGCCGCCUCGGCCGGGGCUGGGAGAGGGCACGGGAAGCUGGAGGCAGCAGCAGCAGAGAAAGGGCCUGGCCACUGUGUCCCUCCCCUGGAUCGCCAUUAGAAUUGUUCUCAUAGCUAAGGCUGAGCACUCACUAUGCACCAAGCACUUUUCUCACAACCUCGCCUGUCUUCAUUCACUUAACCCUUACAGCAACCUUGUGAUGUAGGUAC
rnacentral:sRNA from 1 species